UACAGGGGGGGCGAGCGUUGUUCGGAAUUACUGGGCGUAAAGCGCACGUAGGCGGCUUUGUAAGUUAGAGGUGAAAGCCCAGGGCUCAACCCUGGAAUUGCCUUUAAGACUGCAUCGCUUGAACAUCGGAGAGGUAAGUGGAAUUCCGAGUGUAGAGGUGAAAUUCGUAGAUAUUCGGAAGAACACCAGUGGCGAAGGCGACUUACUGGACGAUUGUUGACGCUGAGGUGCGAAAGCGUGGGGAGCAAACAGGG
rnacentral:rRNA from 1 species